GAGCGGAGCCCGGGGCUGGCGGGGGCCGUGAGUACGGGGGGAGCUUCUCCUGCUCUGGGCACGGCGCGGAGAGGACGGGGCGCUGGAGCUGGCGCCGUGUCCUGGAGCGGGCGGUCCCCGGCCGGGGAGCAUUACUUGACUCUGAGACCAACAUGUAAUUUUCUGCACCGGAAGACAAGAAAGAAACAGCAGUUGUUAACAAAUAAGCCAUGCCUGUUGCAGCUGAUGUAACUGUGGGGGACCUGCCUGUGAGACAUACAGGUCUAAGUCCAGCUGGAAUUGAAGGAUUACAAGGUAAUUUACAGUUGUCUUGGUUUGGGUAGAAUCAUCAACUGCAGAAAAUAUAGAAGCUCAACAAGCUAGGUAACAAAUCAGUCGAGAAGAACUGGAGGACAGAUUUCUUCAUGUACAUGAUGAUCACAUCUUAUUCAAGCAGCAUGCAAAUGAGCAACAGGAGAAAACUAAAAGGCAAGAGUAAACAAUCCAGAAAAAGAGAAUGAACUCUUGAAGAAAAAACUAUGAUAAGCUGUGUAAGUGUCUUCUGUAUGACCCAUGAACAGCAAUGGAAAUCAAAGGAACAGCAAAUGAAACUGCAAAUUGCUAAACUAGAGAUGGCCAUCAAAUCUGAUUUAGCAGACAAAAAUGCAAUCCUUGACAAGAUCAAAGUAGAAAGAGCAUAUGGGACAUGAGGUUAAACUAGAAAGGCUAGCAGAUGAUAAGGUGGAGAUGGCUGAAGAAAUUUAGCAGGAGACAGAAAAACUCUCACAUCUGUCAGAGGAGCGGUUGACCAAACAUCAAUUACUUCUGGAAAUGAGAGAGAAAUAACUGAAGAAUUGGAACCAGAAGUCAGUGCUGGAGGGGUUGCAUCGUGGUGCUAAUCUCGAGCCAUUACAUUCUUCUCCUGGCACAUGGCAAAACAGGGAUGCUGUGGGAAGAUUAUGUGUGCCUCUCCCUCCUUCAGCAGGGAUCCAGCUGCACAAGAGACAUUCAAGAAGAAGAGUUCUCUGCCCCAGGGGUAGUCUAAGGUGUAUGCACUUUAAUAAAGUCCCAUCCAUGUGGAGAAGGAACAGGGAGCAUUUCUGUAUCCUUCCUGUUCUCACAUCUGCACCAGUGUGGGGAAAAGGAAGUUGAAAAAUCUGGAUUAAAAUUACAUUACUUGGUUUUACUAAGUCAUGAGUUGCAUCAGAUGAAACAAUACAGCAGCUGAGUGUGGAAUGCAGAUGAAACAAUUUCCCUGUAGAGAGCACUCCGCUGUCACUUCCAGACCCAACAGGCGGUCAGAGGAGUGAUUGUAACUAGCACUGGUGAGUGGGACCCAUCCCUGAGCAGAUAAAUUAGCAAAGGAAAAUAACUAGUUGGCAUGCUGUGAUUUCUCCUGUAAAUACUUGGAUAUUUUUAUAAUAACUGUGCAAGCCUAAGAUGAAAGUAAGUGCUCAAUGAUACCCCAGAAGAUGAGCAGAAACUUGAAUGUGAAGAUACUGAUUUUGCUGAAUCUGUUUGAAAAAUAUAUUCCACAAGCAAAGAAAUACCAUUGAACAAGACAUUGAUGUGCUCUCUCCUAUUGUGGUGAAGCUCAGGGAAGAAGCUGACAGUAUCUUUGUGAUAAAGCAGUCCCUCUGUGGGCACAUGAACCAGCUCCAAGCCUGGACACAGUGCACACAAGGUGGAUUUUUGCAUAACAGGAAUUCCAGUUAGCCCUACUGGAAUGCCAGGCCAGUUUGCUACUUCUACUGUUGGGGUAAAAACAAUACUGUCCUCUGAAGCUGACAUUUCACUGAGUGAUUUGUUCAAGAACAUACAAAAUGCUUUGGAUCUCUCAGAAUAGCAUCCAAUUUGUCCUGUAAUAGGUCCUUCAACAGAUUUUUGAUUCACAAGAUGAUAGAGCAGUAAUUGGAAAGCUCAAAGGAACAGUGGAAGCCCUCCAUGCGCUGCCCUCAGUCGAGAGGGGAAUGCAAAGAUGACUACAAGGCAUGAAAGGGAGCUUGCCUCCAGAAGAUCCUUCUCCCAGUGUAAAUACAUGCUUGAUAGUGCAUCAAAGAUGAGAUCUUUGUAAUUCCUACAGUAUAUUUAAUGUAUAAUUUAUAUGAAAAGGACGCUUCAUUUGUAGUUGUAAAGUUUUGUAUACUUUUCGGUCUGUUUGUUUUUAUAUUUCCCCCCUAAGGCUAAGAAUAUCUCCACAAUGGACAACGUCUUGUAAAUAAUUAAUACCUACAUGAUUGAACGAUGUGCUUUAUUUGCAUUUUUAAGAUUUUUUUCCUACAUAAAACAGUAAUAAAAAUGCAAGUCAAAAUUUUAAUUUUUAAUAAAAAAACCGUAAGCCUUAGAAAACUGAUUAAAAAUACUUUUAUGUUAUCCCUAAUCACCCCACUAAAUGGAAUGCCUGUGAUUAGCCUCAUUAAGAAUUUUAUACUGUGAAGAUUUUAUUAAAAGCAAUAUAUGAAAAUUACUUGGAUUAAUGUGUUAAUCUGCCUCUUUAAAAUGCUAAUAUCCAUUUUAUGCACAUUAAAUCUCAGUAUGUGUUUUCUUUGAUGCAUGCAGUUCCUAUCAAUUAAAUAUAAAAAAUUAGGCUAGUUGCAGGACUUAUUAAAUUACUGCAACCUUUUUUUAAAUAACUUUUACCCCUCUACUAACAUAAUCAGCUGUUUAUGGUUCCCAUAAUUUGAAGUAGGGGGAGGGCAGGCACAAUCACUUUCUGUACAGUAGAUGAUUUACUUGCAGCCAACAUCUGUCAAAGCACAAAAAGAAGCCAUAGAAUAUCAGAUUUUGCUUCACCUACUUUGGGCUUUAGGGAUGGGCAACUGUUUUCAUUUGGAUU